UGCAUAGCCGACCUGAGAGGGUGAUCGGCCACACUGGAACUGAGACACGGUCCAGACUCCUACGGGAGGCAGCAGUAGGGAAUCUUCCGCAAUGGGCGAAAGCCUGACGGAGCAACGCCGCGUGAGUGAUGAAGGUCUUCGGAUCGUAAAACUCUGUUAUUAGGGAAGAACAUAUGUGUAAGUAACUGUGCACAUCUUGACGGUACCUAAUCAGAAAGCCACGGCUAACUACGUGCCAGCAGCCGCGGUAAUACGUAGGUGGCAAGCGUUAUCCGGAAUUAUUGGGCGUAAAGCGCGCGUAGGCGGUUUUUUAAGUCUGAUGUGAAAGCCCACGGCUCAACCGUGGAGGGUCAUUGGAAACUGGAAAACUUGAGUGCAGAAGAGGAAAGUGGAAUUCCAUGUGUAGCGGUGAAAUGCGCAGAGAUAUGGAGGAACACCAGUGGCGAAGGCGACUUUCUGGUCUGUAACUGACGCUGAUGUGCGAAAGCGUGGGGAUCAAACAGGAUUAGAUACCCUGGUAGUCCACGCCGUAAACGAUGAGUGCUAAGUGUUAGGGGGUUUCCGCCCCUUAGUGCUGCAGCUAACGCAUUAAGCACUCCGCCUGGGGAGUACGACCGCAAGGUUGAA
rnacentral:rRNA from 1 species